rnacentral:rRNA from 1 species
GAUGAACGCUAGCGGCAGGCCUAAUACAUGCAAGUCGAACGGGAUCUGAGGGUAGCUUGCUGCCCGAUUUGAGAGUGGCGCACGGGUGCGUAACGCGUGAGCAACCUACCCAUAUCAGGGGGAUAGCCCGAAGAAAUUCGGAUUAACACCGCAUAAUAAUACGCUAACACAUGUUAAUGUAUUUAAAUAUUUAUAGGAUAUGGAUGGGCUCGCGUGACAUUAGCUAGUUGGUAAGGUAACGGCUUACCAAGGCGACGAUGUCUAGGGGCUCUGAGAGGAGAAUCCCCCACACUGGUACGGAGACACGGACCAGACUCCUACGGGAGGCAGCAGUAAGGAAUAUUGGUCAAUGGGCGCAAGCCUGAACCAGCCAUGCCGCGUGCAGGAUGACUGCCCUAUGGGUUGUAAACUGCUUUUGUUAGGGAAUAAACCUACUUAUGUAUAAGUAGCUGAAUGUACCUAAAGAAUAAGGAUCGGCUAACUCCGUGCCAGCCGCCGCAGUAA